GACGAACGCUGGCGGCGUGCUUAACACAUGCAAGUCGAGCGGUAAGGCCCUUUCGGGGGUACACGAGCGGCGAACGGGUGAGUAACACGUGGGUGACCUGCCCUCAGCUCUGGGAUAAGCCUGGGAAACCGGGUCUAAUACUGGAUAUGACUCCAUGACGCAUGUUGUGGGGUGGAAAGCCUUGUGCGGCUGAGGAUGGGCCCGCGGCCUAUCAGCUUGUUGGUGGGGUGAGGCCUACCAAGGCGACGACGGGUAGCCGGCCUGAGAGGGCGACCGGCCACACUGGGACUGAGACACGGGCCCAGACUCCUACGGGAGGCAGCAGUGGGGAAUCUUGCGCAAUGGGCGAAAGCCUGACGCAGCGACGCCGCGUGAGGGAUGAC
rnacentral:rRNA from 1 species